GUGCAACAGAAACAUCCCUCGCAACAGGUGCCUUGCUCAUCCCAGCAAAGGGAAGGCAUGGUGUAAUCACCUGUGCGGCCACUGCUACCAAGGCCAAGAUGAGGAAAGAGCGCGCUGCACGGCGGGCCAUGGUGGCUGAGGGGCAAACACUAGAAUCUGCAGCUAGAGCACAGGGCAACUAGG
rnacentral:ribozyme from 14 species